rnacentral:rRNA from 1 species
AAGGAAUAUUGCGCAAUGGACGAAAGUCUGACGCAGCGACGCCGCGUGGGGGAUGAAGGUCUUCGGAUUGUAAACCCCUUUCGGGAGGGAAGAUGGAGUGGGUAACCACUUGGACGGUACCUCCAGAAGCAGCCACGGCUAACUUCGUGCCAGCAGCCGCGGUAAUACGAAGGUGGCAAGCGUUGUUCGGAUUCACUGGGCGUACAGGGAGCGUAGGCGGUUGGGUAAGCCCUCCGUGAAAUCUCCGGGCCUAACCCGGAAAGUGCAGAGGGGACUGCUCAGCUAGAGGAUGGGAGAGGAGCGCGGAAUUCCCGGUGUAGCGGUGAAAUGCGUAGAGAUCGGGAGGAAGGCCGGUGGCGAAGGCGGCGCUCUGGAACAUUUCUGACGCUGAGGCUCGAAAGCGUGGGGAGCAAAC